GGGAGUCGCGCUAGGACCUGGAGGGCUAGUCGGCGGGCUGCGCGUCCGGCCGCUAGCUGAGCUGGAGGCCACCGGCCAGAGCCGACCCCAGGAGUGAGAGAGACAGGGGCGUGCGUGAGUUCCGGCGGCCUGCACCGGGCAAACCCCGUACCUUCCCAGCAUCGGCUCAGCAACCCACGUGCAUCCAGGCCGGUCAAUGUCAUUGAGUCACCUCCGCGCCUUGGCCACCCUGGAGUCCCGAGAAUCCGAAGUUCCAGACAAAUGCCCAAACUACAUUCCUGCAUGUUCGAAAGCGUAAAUUGCAAAGCACAAAUCCAGAAAUGACAAUAAAGGCUUUGGGCCGCGCUUCUGUCCUUUGCUCCUUCUGCCUCCUGACCAAUCCUGAUACUUCACUCUAUGGCCCUAUGUGUCAUGAUGUGGCCCCUUCUCUUCAGGAACUGGCCACCUGGAUCUGCCUAUACAGGAGGAAAAAUAAAGCCACCAACUUUUACACAGCCCUGCUAAUCAUGGAAGUGUGUCCAGGCUUCAAAUAACUUGAGUUUUAAUUUCUUAAAUUAAAAUUGGGAAAUAUAUUUAAUAUUUAAUACUAAGCUUUAAAACAAAACCUGCUAGCAUUGUUAUGUAUCCUGAUGCAAAGACUAUGAUGUUAAUAAAAGAUAGUACAGAAGACAAAAAAUAAAAUAGAAUAAAAAUAAAGGCUUUCUCUUCCAGAGUUAUAUACUGAAAUGUUUAUAGAUACCAUUAUUUCAUGGCUGGGGUUUGCUUCAUAAUAAUCUGGAGUUGAGGACAGUGGGUGGCAGCUAACUGGACCAAGAUUGACCAUGAGUUGACAAUUGUUGAUGCUGGAUGAUAGGAAAUGAAAGUUCACUAUUCUGUUCUGUAUGCUUUUGUGUAUGUUUGAAGUUUUUCAUGGAAUACGAAUGAACUAUACACAACAGGGAAUGAAUCUCACAAAUAUUAAGCCAAACAAAAGAAGCUGGACCAAAAAAGCAAGCAUACAGUAUGAUUCCAUUUAUAUAAAGUUUAAAACAGGCAAAACAAAUCCAUGAUGUUAGAAAUCAGAAUAAUGGUGGCUGGGUGUGGUGGCUCAUGCCUGUAAUCCCAGCACUUUGGGAGGCCAAGGUGAGUGGAUCACCUGGGGUCAGCAGUUCGAGACCAUCCUGGCCAACAUGGUUAAACCCUAUCUUGACUAAAGAUACAAAAAUUAGCUGCACGUGGUGGCAGGUGCCUGUAAUCCCAGCUACUUGGGAGGCUGAAGCAGGAGGAUCGCUUGAACCCAGGAGGUGGAGGUUGCAGUGAGCCGAAAUCGUGCCAUCGCACUCCAGCCUGGGCAACAAGGGUGAAAUUCCUUUUCAAAAAAAAAAAAAGAAAUCAGAAUAA
rnacentral:lncRNA from 1 species